GAGAUAACUCAUCCCGAGAAAUAAUGUGCGAUUGACUCCUAAGAGGAGAAUGGCUCCAGAAUCUUAUCUAAAUGUGUAGCAAAUGAAGGUCUCUAACAGAGAGAAUUGAAAGCAAGUGUCUGUACAGAAACUUGUACACAAAUGUUCGUGGCAUCAUUAUUGAUAGAACUCAAAUGUGGGAACAACCCAAAUGUCCAUGGAUGGAGAAAUGGGUAAACAAAAUGUGGUACAUACAUACAAUGGAAGGUUAUUCCACCAGAAAGAGGAGUAGAGGCUGAUAAUGCUGCACCAUGAUGGACCUUGAAAACACAGCGCAGUGUGAAAGAAACAUCACAGAAGAAUAUAUAUGUUUGAUCAUCCUUUCAUAAUGAGCUCCACAACUGCAAAACUGAAGCUGUGACACCCGCUACACUUAUCUCCCUGGUCUCUGGAAGGGGCUGCAGUAAG